rnacentral:rRNA from 1 species
ACGCUCGACACCUACGUGAGGCAGCAGUGGGGGAUAUUGCACAAUGGGCGCAAGCCUGAUGCAGCGACGCCGCGUGAGGGAAGACGGUCUUCGGAUUGUAAACCUCUGUCUUCGGGGACGAUAAUGACGGUACCCGAGGAGGAAGCCACGGCUAACUACGUGCCAGCAGCCGCGGUAAUCUGAGCGGGCUGGCAAGGC